rnacentral:rRNA from 1 species
UACGUAGGUGGCAAGCGAUACUCGGAAUCACUAGGCGUAAAGCGCAGGUAGGAGGUUUGGAAAGUCUGUUGUGAAAGCUCCCGGCUUAACUGGGAGAGGUCAACGGAAACUGCCAGGCUAGAGUGCGGUAGAGGUAGCUGGAAUUCCCGGUGUAGCGGUGAAAUGCGUAGAUAUCGGGAGGAAUACCUAUGGCGAAAGCAGGCUACUGGACCGUCACUGACUCUGAUCUGCGAAAGCUAGGGGAGCAAACAGG